CAAAAAAAAAAAAAAAUUGCUCCUCUCUUAAACCCGAUUCUUUGCCCAUCUUCACUCUCAAUUUUCUCUCCACAACCUAGAACCACCAUCAAUCCUUCUCUCCCACAACUCAACAGCUCCACCUUCUCUAGCACAACUCAACAACUGCAAUCACCCAAGUUAUAGAUAUAUCCCCAGUCUGAUGGAGAGGCAACAUAUGGAAUGAGUGUGUCGAAGAAGAUUGCGAUGACCAUUAAGUAGCUCUUUGAGAUGGAUUUGCUGGACUAACAGUGGUGUUCAUCGGUUGCAAUAAGAUUUACAUAAGCAUGUACCAGAAAAUGUUAAUGGAGCUCUUCAUUUCUCUAUUAAGGUUGGUAGAAUUGCAGGCCAAUCAGUAAAACCAAGAUUAGUGCUAUUGCAAGGCCUUUGCUACCUAGCCUAUGUUGCUAUGCAGAAGGUUGGAUUUCAUGGAGCACAGGAUUGCCAUUUCAUAUUCAGAUUCACUUUGGUUUUCUUUAUUUUACUUUAUGUUUGCUAGCCCACCAAUGAGCUUAAAUAUAAUUUCAAUCCAUUGAUAUCGAACCAUACAAUUA